AUCUCCUUCGCCCCUCCGCCAGCUGAUCACGAGUUCGUCGGUGUCCCCGACUUACCUCCGGCUUCUUCUGCGUACACCCGACAGUUAUUGGAGAUGAAUGCCUCCAUGAUGGGGAUGCUCCAGCGGACCUUUGAUCUCCUGGCCCUCUACAGCAUUCCGCCUCCUUUCCAGAUUCCCAUGGCAGGAGGUGCUUUAGCUGGACCUUCCGUCCCUGUCCG